rnacentral:rRNA from 1 species
UACGUAGGGGGCAAGCGUUGUCCGGAAUCAUUGGGCGUAAAGCGCGUGUAGGCGGCCCGGUAAGUCCGCUGUGAAAGUCGGGGGCUCAACCCUCGGAUGCCGGUGGAUACUGUCGGGCUAGAGUGCGGGAGAGGCGAGUGGAAUUCCUGGUGUAGCGGUGAAAUGCGCAGAUAUCAGGAGGAACACCGAUGGCGAAGGCAGGUCUCUGGGCAUUAACUGACGCUGAGGAGCGAAAGCAUGGGGAGCGAACAGG